rnacentral:rRNA from 1 species
AGGAUGAACGCUGGCGGCAGGCCUAACACAUGCAAGUCGAGCGCCCGUAGCAAUACGGGAGCGGCAGACGGGAUAGUAACACGUGGGAACGCGCCCUUCGGUUCGGAAUAACUCAGGGAAACUUGAGCUAAUACCGAAUACGCCCUUACGGGGAAAGAUUUAUUGCCGAAGGAACGGCCCGCGUCCGAUUAGCUAGUUGGUGAGGUAAUGGCUCACCAAGGCUACGAUCGGUAGCUGGUCUGAGAGGAUGACCAGCAUCACUGGGACUGAGACACGGCCCAGACUCCUACGGGAGGCAGCAGUGGGGAAUAUUGGACAAUGGGCGCAAGCCUGAUCCAGCCAUGCCGCGUGGAUGAUGAAGGCCUUAGGGUUGUAAAGUCCGUUUUAACGGGGAAGAUAAUGACGGUACCCGUAGAAUAAGCCCCGGCUAACUUCGUGCCAGCAGCCGC